AUGAGGUUUUAGAACACCAGGAGUAAAAAGAAUAAGAAAGAAAGUGAAAUCACAUAUUAAGCCCAUGGACUCUGUUUACUUCAUCCAACAAUUCAUUGGCAGACUGCUAUUCAGCACCUACCAUGCAUCAGACCCUCACUGUGCUUGAAAUACUGCAGAGAACAAGAUCAGCUGGGACUCUGCUCCAGUUGCCCUCUUUGAAGUAGCAGGCAAAAGGGAAUCCAUCCCCAUGAUUCACAAUUGCUA